rnacentral:misc_RNA from 1 species
AAAUUGCGAUAACUAGUGUGAAUUGCAAAUUCAGUGAAUCAUCGAGUCUUUGAACGCAUCUUGCGCUCAUUGGUAUUCCAGUGAGCACGCCUGUUUCAGUAUCAAAAACAACCCUCAUUCAAAAGUUUUUUCUUAUGAAUGGUUAUGAAGGAAGCUUUAGCCCUUGGGCUUGGCAACCUUUUAAAUUGAGUAAGGCCUGAAUCUGUUUCAUCUAGCCUGAACUUUUUUUUAAUAUAAAGGAAAGCUCUUGCGACUUGAACUUUGUUGGGGCCUCCCAAAUAAAACUUUUUUCAUCUUGAUCUGAAAUCAGGUGGGACUACCCGCUGAACUUAA